rnacentral:lncRNA from 1 species
GUGAAAGUCUUCUUCCUUGAUUGCCCUGGGAAGAAAUCUUCAUUUUUGGUUUGCAAGACCAUGAAAAUGAGACAAUAAAUACAACAAAUGAAAUACUUUACACUCAAAAACUAUUUUUAAAAAAACAGACAAAAUAUAGAAAAUAAGUAUAAGUAACAUAUUCAAAGAGACAUUAAACGACAUUUUAUUAAUUUUAAAAGCUAUAGAUUAUAGAAAUAAAAAUUUUCCGUAUGAAAUUUCCCUCCUAAGGGUCGGCCCAAGUCCAGGACCUGUCUGGGAAUUGUGGACAUAUCGGUAGGACACGGGCAAGGAUUGCCAUCUCGCUCAGCACCUGUUUCCUUGAACGAUGAGAAUAACCCAUCUCUCCUGUUUUAAGUGUGAUUUGUCAUAUACAUCAAUAGGCAUCUUGGCUCAACAUACGAAAGCCCCUUUCCACAGAGACAGCUGCCUCCAGCCUGAAGAAGUUGCCACAGGAGGCAACGAAAGCAAGCGCUGCAAAGACGAAGGGGAGCGCCCAAGGAUGAGGAACGUUCCAAGACACUGAGUGAUUUGCUGAAAAUCACACAUCUAGAUGCAAAGCCAGAAUGCGAGCAGUGACCACCACACUUGACAAAUCCGUUGUUGCACACAUUUGUACUCUUCAAUCAACAAAACCUGAUGCAAAAAACAGAAAAGGGGGAGAUGUACAUGCAUUUUCCCUCACUGCAAAAAAAACACAACUUGUUUAACUACAGGUGUGUUCCUGGUGGUCUUUGAAUGAAGACAUUGACAGAAAGUAACAUAGCAUGCUGGUUAAAGACUGUUUUUAUUCGAAUCCUGGCUUUGCCAAUCAACAGCUGCAUAAAUUAAACUCUCGACCUCAGCUCCCUUAUUUGUAAAACAAGAAUAACAAAAAGACAUUUUUAUAAGGUUGGGUUGAAGGUUAAAUGAAAUAACAGAAGAUUAUCUCUUCACUAAUUUUAGCUGUAGAAAACAGAAGCCAAUCGAAAGAGCUCCCAGUCCAAAGCUGGAACAACUUGAACAACAAAAUAAAUAAUGUAGCAUUGGAUUACAAACCAACCAUAAAACAAAUAUCCAUGAGUCUAUA